rnacentral:rRNA from 1 species
GACGAACCGUACGAACGUUAUUCGGAAUCACUGGGCUUAAAGGGUGCGUAGGCGGCGCGACAAGUUGGGUGUGAAAUCCCUCGGCUCAACCGAGGAACUGCGCCCAAAACUGUCGUGCUCGAGGGAGACAGAGGUGAGCGGAACUUAGGGUGGAGCGGUGAAAUGCGUUGAUAUCCUAAGGAACACCGGUGGCGAAAGCGGCUCACUGGGUCUCUUCUGACGCUGAGGCACGAAAGCUAGGGGAGCAAACAGG